rnacentral:sRNA from 1 species
CAAUAAGCGGAGGAAAAGAAACUAACAAGGAUUCCCCUAGUAACUGCGAGUGAAGCGGGAAAAGCUCAAAUUUAAAAUCUGGCGGUCUCCGGCCGUCCGAGUUGUAAUCUAGAGAAGUGCUAUCCGCGCUGGACCGUGUACAAGUCUCCUGGAAUGGAGCGUCAUAGAGGGUGAGAAUCCCGUCUUUGACACGGACUGCCAGGGCUUUGUGAUGCGCUCUCAAAGAGUCGAGUUGUUUGGGAAUGCAGCUCAAAAUGGGUGGUAAAUUCCAUCUAAAGCUAAAUAUUGGCGAGAGACCGAUAGCGAACAAGUACCGUGAGGGAAAGAUGAAAAGAACUUUGGAAAGAGAGUUAAACAGUACGUGAAAUUGCUGAAAGGGAAACGCUUGAAGUCAGUCGCGUUGGCCGGGGAUCAACCUUGCUUUUGCUGGGCGUACUUUCCGGUCGACGGGUCAGCAUCAAUUUUGACCGUUGGAUAAAGUUCAGGGGAAUGUGGCAUCUUCGGAUGUGUUAUAGCCCUUGGUCGCAUACAACGAUUGGGAUUGAGGAACUCAGCACGCCGCAAGGCCGGGUACUUGUACCACGUUCGUGCUUAGGAUGCUGGCAUAAUGGCUUUAAUCGACCCGUCUUGAAACACGGACCAAGGAGUCUAACAUGCCUGCGAGUGUUUGGGUGGAAAACCCGGGCGCGUAAUGAAAGUGAAAGUUGAGAUCCCUGUCGCGGGGAGCAUCGACGCCCGGACCAGACCUUUUGUGACGGAUCCGCGGUAGAGCAUGUAUGUUGGGACCCGAAAGAUGGUGAACUAUGCCUGAAUAGGGUGAAGCCAGAGGAAACUCUGGUGGAGGCUCGUAGCGAUUCUGACGUGCAAAUCGAUCGUCAAAUUUGGGUAUAGGGGCGAAAGACUAAUCGAACCAUCUAGUAGCUGGUUCCUGC